CCUCUCAGUUCCCAGCACCCCCCUUCCUUGCCCACUUUUGCCUGACGGGAACUGGACCCUGUCAACGUUUCUCCUUUGCCAACAAGUGCAAUGCCAGGCUUUGUCAACAGAGAACAAGGCGGGACUGUGGGAGGUAGUGUUUCUACUUUAACUCCUAUGGCCAGGGCCAGUGGCCUGUGGAACACCCCAGAGUCUGGUCUCUGGCAAGCGUCUCCUGCACCUCAGGGGGAGUUUCCUGAGAAGUAGCUUUGGCCCCUGGCACCCUAGAAAACCUCUCUACCACCUGGGCUGGCAGCCACACCCUCUCUGUGGAGGUCUGAGUCUCAGGAGGGUGCUGGGUUCCUCCUAGUUCCAGGGACCAUUCUCUCCAACCACUGCUCCAACUUUCAUAGGAGAAUCUUGGCAAGGAAGGGAAUUCAACUGACAUUGUAAUUCUGCGACCCACACAAUUAAAUGUUGCGUUUCUCAUCAAAGCAGCCCCGAGGCUCUAAGGAACGAGGGACUCCUCUCCACGGCCACAGCAGUCCUGAUUCUCAGGCUGUGACCUGCGCUGCGUUUAGAGACCUGCACGCGUGGUUCCUAUCUGUUAGUGCUGCUGGACGCUCAGGGGGCCCCUCACAGCCCUUGCAGUCAUGGUCAUCUUCGUGGCUGCGACAGCCUCACACAGCAGCACCUGGGUUUCUGAGGCUCUCAAUUCCGCUAGUGCCUCACGCCCAGCAUGGGGGAUGGCUUGGUUAACCGUGAAGCACCCCCACACUGUGGACCAGCAGCCUCCCCUUCCCACCAGCCAGGAGCUCAGGCCUGCAGCCCAGCCCAAGCAGCAACCACACCACUCCCAGACUCCACCGCAGAGGGUCUGUCUCCGGGCCCCCUCCUGACACUGAGACGUUGCUCUUCCUUCUCCUGCCCUUUUUGGUAGCUAGCUGCCUCGUCCUUGUUGGUGACUCUUUCAUUACGUUUUUCCCAUUGGAGUGAUGGGUGUGGUUUCUGUCUCCUGAGUCGUCCUUGUUAGUGAUUUUUUCAUUACAUUUUUCCCCAUUGGAGUGAUCGGUGUUGCUUCUGCCUCCUGACUGUGUCCUGAACCAGGCCCCACUGUCCAUCCAAUGCUCAGACCGAAAGCUCAGGCACCAACCUUGACUCUUCUCUUGCCUUUGCCCGCACAUCCAACCUGUCAACAAGUCUGGUGUCCUCUCCUCCAAACAUCCUGAAAUUUGCUCUCUGCACUCACGGGGCCGCUGCCCCAUUCGCCCGAGAACAAUCCUAGUCCCUGCCUUGUAGGGCCUGUCACAGACCAGAAUGUACCACCCCCAAAUCUGCCUCUUUGGCAUCAGCACUAUUUUGAGCAGAUUAUUUUGAGAAACUGCAGACACAGGAGAAGCUCCCUUUUGUAAGAAAAAAUUUGCAUCCGUAAAGGAAGUUCCACGGUAAGGGCAUCUCCUCUCCGUACCAGGAAGAGAAAGGCCCCAGAUCGCCGAGGCGCAGAGGCUCCCAUCGGUGGAGAAGGCCCCGCCUCAGCUGCGCCACCAGUCUUAUCCCCGUGACUGGCCCCCAGCACCCUUCUUCCUUUGGUUUGGCUGAAGAUGGGAUUUAAGUCAAAAGUGAGAGCCGCCUGUGAGCUUCCCUGCCUCUCCGCGUACCUCCUGAGUAUACACAAGGCACACAUAUGAAUACACUCCUGUUUUUCUCUUUUCCCAACAGGGAACUGUGAGGGGAGAGAGAAACUUAUCUUCCCACACGGGAUCAGGGAAUCGCAGGGCCUGGCACAUGGAGAAGCUGCCAGGGUGAGGCUCCCCAUACACCCCACGCGCCCUGCCCACCACGAG
rnacentral:lncRNA from 1 species